rnacentral:lncRNA from 1 species
AGCAGAGAGCUGAGCAGAGAGCUGAGCACAGGGCUGGGCACAGGGCUGGGCAAAGAGCAGGGCACAGAGCUGAGCAGUGCUGGGCACAGAGCUGGGUAAAGAUCAGGGCACAGAGGUGGGCACAGGGCUGAGCACAGGGCUGGGCACAGGGCUGGGCAUAGAACUGAACACAGGGCUGGGCACAGGGCUGGGCAUAGAACUGAACACAGGGCUGGGCACAGGGCUGGGCACUGGGCACAGGGCUGAGCGCAGCGUUGCUUUCUGCCCGCAGUACGUGACGGUGAAGCCGAACCAGAAGCAGCUGCUGCGGGGGCUGUUUGUCCCCGAGUGCCCGGGCUGCGGCACCCCACAGCUGGAGCAGGCUGUGGGCAUCGUGGGGGCCGUCAUCAUGCCCCACAACAUGUACCUGCACUCCGCGCUCGUCAAGGUGAGCCGUGCAAUAGGGGGCAGCGCAGUAAGGAGCAGCACAGUGAGCAGUGCAGUAAGGAGCAGUGCAGUAAGCAGUGCAAUAAGGAGCAGUGCAGUAAGGAGCAGUGCAGUGAGCAGUGCAAUGAGCAGCAGUGCAAUAAGGAGCAGCAGCGCAGUGAGCAGCAGUGCAGUGAGCAGUGCAAUAAGGGGCAGUGCAGUGAGCAGCAGUGCAAUGAGGAGCAGCACAAUGAGCAGCAGUGCAGUAAGAAGCAGUGCAGUGAGCAGUGCAAUGAGGAGCAGCUUAAUAAGCAGUGCAGUAAGGAGCAGCGCAAUGAGGAGCAGAGCAAUGAGAAGCAGUGCAGUGAGGAGCAGCAGUGCAGUGAGCAGCAGUGCAGUGAGCAGCCGUGCAAUGAGCAGCCGUGCAAUGAGCAGCCAUGGGCUGCAGCAGGGAUGGGAGCUCGCAGCUGUGAGCUCUGCAGGUCAGCACUGUGUGCAGCCUUUCCCCAUGGCAGUGGGGUCCGUGCAAGCAAAGCUGCAGCUGCACCAGGCAGCAGCCGCAUGCAUGGGGGCAGGGCUCCCUGUGCACCCCCACACUUUGCACCCCCAACUCUGUGCACCCCCAACUCUGUGCACACCAUCACUCUGCACCUCCCUGUGUGCACCCCCACUCUGUGCACCCCCCCACUUUGCACCCACACUCUGUGCACCCCCCACUUUGCACCCUCACA